CCAACCAUAGCUCAGUUCGAAGAGCGCAUGCCUUGGACUUUGUGGCUGUGUCUCUUGCCGGCUGAGCAAAGCAAAAGUGUUUUUGUUUUGUCUGCCUGGUGCCAUCAUGAGGUCCCCAGUUCGAACCUGGGUGGUCGGA